CCGACGUGUCCUUCCUGUGCUCCGCACCGUCUUCUGAGGAUUCUUAGAGGAAAAGUUCAGCCACAACCCCCGGACAUUCCUGGAGCUGGAGCCGCCUGGGCAGAGGAGAGAGAAGACAAGAAACACUGACCUGACUCUGCAGAGAAGAUGGAGCUGGAAGAAGUCCUGGCAUCUGGACCAGAUAAAGAAGAAAAGACAACAGAGAAGACGUCACUCAGUGGCCCACUGUAUAGGAGAGCUCGUACAUACGAACCUUAAAUAGACAAGACCCGGACAUUUAGGGUGAGUUCACGUUUGAGUAUUUUCUUUCAAACUUGAAAGUUUGAAAUGGGCGGGCUCUCCACGGAAAAUCCACCGCAGACCCCAUUACAUUCACUAGGGUCUGCGGUGGAUUUUUAACAGCGGAGAUUCUGCUGUCAAAAAUCUGCUGGGUGCGUUCUUACGAGCGUAUUUCCUUUCAAACUCGCAGCAUGUUUUCAAUGGGGUCUGCGGCGGAUUUUCUGCAGCGGAAAUUCAGCUGCCAAAAAUUUGCCACUGACAGCUGGUGGAGAGCCCGCCCCCUUUCAAACUUUCAAGUAUGAAAGAAAGUACGCUGGUGUGAAAGAGGAUGUCCAGAAAUAAAGGCAGUGCCACCUCUGUUCUCAGGUUGUUCAUCUUAUUACAACUUGUCUCCAUUCACUUCAAUGGAACUGAGCUGCAAUACCACACACAAGCUGAGGACAGGUGUGGUGCUGUUUUUUGGAAGAAAUCAGCUUAGUUUUUCUAACCUUUGAUAUAUUGGUAUAUGUCAGCGUGGUUAUAGGAUGCAACUGGGUAAAGUAUAGCUGACUCAGGUUUACUUAUUGUAACAUGUUCAUGUAAUGAUCUGUGAAGGGACAGCGCCCGGUCACUUACCUGGUAAUUGUAGAAAACUAGGCUAAGAGAAUGGAGUCAUGUAAUGCGAGGUGGUGAGUUCAUACAGCGAGUCCUAUUAUGGUGUGAUGUAAUACCUCUGUCUGUCUCAGGAACUGUCCAGAGCAGGAGAAGUUUGCUAUGGGGAUUUGCUCCUGCUCUUGACAGUUCCUGACAUGGACAGAGGUGUCAGCAGAGAGCAGUGUGGUCAGACAGAUAGGAAAUUCAAAAUGAAAAGAACUUCCUCUGGAGCAUACAGCAGCUAAUAUGUACUAUAGGAAGGACUAAGAUUUUUAAAUAGAAGUAUUUUACAUACCUGCUUAACGUUCUGGCACCAGUUGACUUAAAAAAUAGUUUUUCACUUGAGUACCCCUUUAAAAUGCAUAUGAUUGACUGAAGAAAUGAGGGGGGGGGCUUGUAGGGGAAAAUCUAUUAAAAUGCAUAUGGCAGGGGGAUCGGGGGGGGGGGGGUUCAUUAAAAUGGCACAGGGGGAUCAGUUGAAAUGACACAGGGGGAUCAACUAAAAUAGCAUUGGAGGAUUGAGGGGACUGAAAUGGCCCAACGUCCCAAUGUCAUUUCAAUCCCCCCUCUGAUCCACGCUGUGCCAUUUCAAUCCCCCUCCUCUUAACCCCCCCCCCCCCUGAUUUUCCCAUGUAAUUUCAAUUGUCCCCUUUAACCCCCUUUGCAAUUUUAAUCCCCUUCUGAUCCCCCUGUACCAUUUCAAUUCCCCCAUCUGAUCCCCCUGUACCAUUUAAAUCCCCCCUACUCUGAUCCCCCCCCAUUUGA